AGUGACGUACAUGAUACUACAUCGGAAGUUCACUGGGUUUAGUUUGGCCAAGUGAGAAAAGGGAUAAUAAUAAAAAAAAAAAAGAAAGAAAAGAAUGGAGGGGAAGAACAACAGCAAUAACAGCGAUGGAGUGAAGAGAAAUGUAGGGGGAUGUGAUGUGGAGGCCCUGAAGAAAUGCUUGGCGGAGCAUAAAGAAGAUUACCACCUCAAGUGCCAACCCCAAAUUGAAGCUUUCAGAGGCUGUUCUUUGCACAAGUUCACCCCUUCCUACUCCUUGUCACCCCGUCCCCGCCCUAAUUCCAACUCCACCGCUACUUCUCUCGUCACUGAGCUCUGAUCUCUGCCUUUUUCUUGUAAUCCUGACUUGUUAAGAUUCUGCUCUAUAUACAAAUGUGAAAUGUGCUGGUCAUAUAUGUAAUAUGUACUGCAGAUAAAUUUGCACCAAUAUGUCAUCUCGAUUGAUUGUCGAAAACAGGACUAGCCUUUUAAAGUCUUUUUUCCUAUUGAUCAACCAUUGUUACCGGAAAAAGAAAAAAGAUUUCUGGGCACUUGGAAAAUACAAUGUACGCACUUCAUAAUUGUUAAGGAAAGGCGAUUGUUUAAUGGGGAUGUUGUGGAAUAGUAAAUUACUCAUUCCUUCCAGAUGUUGUUGAUGAUUCAUUGUAUGUUGCCCUAGCAUCAGGCGUUAAACUAGUUUUCUUGAGCAAUUAUAGCUGCAUUUUUUCAGGGACGCAAGCUUGGUCUAAGUUUCUGGAACUGGGAUCGGUCUUUAAUGACCGUAUACAUGUAUACAGAAACGUGUGUGAGUCAGGGAGUGACUACUUCGAGGUCUAGAGAAUGCAAUGCUUAAUGAUCUGAUAAUAGAAUGCAAUGUUUUGGGAGAUCAUCUGUGAAUUUGGUACGAUGUUGCUGCUAGCUUAUGUGAUUGUAUGGUCCCCUCCAGAGGAUCCAAUCAAAAUCAGGGAUGU
rnacentral:lncRNA from 1 species